rnacentral:rRNA from 1 species
AGUGAACGCUGGCGGUAGGCCUAACACAUGCAAGUCGAACGGCAGCACAGUAAGAGCUUGCUCUUACGGGUGGCGAGUGGCGGACGGGUGAGGAAUACAUCGGAAUCUACUUUUUCGUGGGGGAUAACGUUGGGAAACUUACGCUAAUACCGCAUACGACCUACGGGUGAAAGCAGGGGAUCUUCGGACCUUGCGCGAUUGAAUGAGCCGAUGUCGGAUUAGCUAGUUGGCGGGGUAAAGGCCCACCAAGGCGACGAUCCGUAGCUGGCCUGAGAGGAUGAUCAGCCACACUGGAACUGAGACACGGUCCAGACUCCUACGGGAGGCAGCAGUGGGGAAUAUUGGACAAUGGGCGCAAGCCUGAUCCAGCCAUACCGCGUGGGUGAAGAAGGCCUUCGGGUUGUAAAGCCCUUUUGUUGGGAAAGAAAAGCAGCAGGUUAAUACCCCGCUGUCCUGACGGUACCCAAAGAAUAAGCACCGGCUAACUUCGU